UACGUAGGUGGCAAGCGUUGUCCGGAUUUACUGGGCGUAAAGGGCGUGCAGGCGGUCUGUUAAGUGCAGGGUGAAAGCUCCCGGCUCAACUGGGAGAGGUCCUUGCAUACUGGCGGACUUGAGGGGGGUAGAGGAAAGUGGAAUUCCCGGUGUAGUGGUGAUAUGCGUAGAUAUCGGGAGGAACACCUGUGGCGAAGGCGGCUUUCUGGGCCCUACCUG
rnacentral:rRNA from 1 species